GACGAACGCUGGCGGCGUGCUUAACACAUGCAAGUCGAACGGAAAGGCCCUGCUUUUGUGGGGUGCUCGAGUGGCGAACGGGUGAGUAACACGUGAGUAACCUGCCCUUGACUUUGGGAUAACUUCAGGAAACUGGGGCUAAUACCGGAUAGGAGCUCCUGCUGCAUGGUGGGGGUUGGAAAGUUUCGGCGGUUGGGGAUGGACUCGCGGCUUAUCAGCUUGUUGGUGGGGUAGUGGCUUACCAAGGCUUUGACGGGUAGCCGGCCUGAGUGGGUGACCGGCAACAUUGGGACUGAGAUACGGCCCAGACUCCUACGGGAGGCAGCAGUGGGGAAUAUUGCACAAUGGGCGGAAGCCUGAUGCAGCAACGCCGCGUGCGGGAUGACGGCCUUCGGGUUGUAACCCGCUUUCGCCUGUGACGAAGCGUGAGUGACGGUAAUGGGUAAAGAAGCACCGGCUAACUACGUG
rnacentral:rRNA from 1 species